UUUGAUGAUUACUGCUCACUGGAGAGUUAACAGCGUGAUGACAGCCUCACGAACAAAAUCCUCAAAAGUGUGGGAGCUAUACUGAGAAGAAAGGGUGUCAGUUGUGAAAUUUGUAAAGCCGAGGGGAUGGGAGCUCAUUCUCCAUGUAGGAGCAUCUGAAGAGGAUGCAUGAAGAAAAUUAAUCGCGCACGGCCACACAACUCUUUAUUCAGGUAACUGAACGUCUUGAUGCAGGAGCGCACGGAGUCGCACACACACUCUCCGCUCACACGGUCGCACCCGCUCACCAGGGGGCAAUGCACAUCCUCUGCACCAGCAUCCGCAGUGUUGAGGAGCCCUGUGGAAAAAGACAACAGUGUUACCACGGAGCUUCGGAUUAGUUUGUUUGAUUCGUUUAGGCAGGGUCUUGGCUGUCUGUAUGAUUUGUUUGCUUUCGUUACACAGUAUGGGGCCCUCUUGCUCACUCUCUGUUCCGGAGCUUUGUGCCUACUUGAACUAUGUCAUGCCUAGCAAUUGCUGUCUCUGUGAUAGUGUCCUGAGGACAGGGACAAAUAUUAAAGAUUUCUAUGAAGUAAA